CCCUGGUUAGCUCAGUUGAUGAAGCGCUCCACUGGAAUUGGAGAGGAUCCGGGUUCGAUACCCGGACCAGGCG
rfam:Ixodes scapularis strain Wikel colony gcontig_1107728770626, whole genome shotgun sequence.